UACAGAGGGUGCAAGCGUUGUUCGGAAUUAUUGGGCGUAAAGCGCGUGUAGGCGGCUUUGCAAGUCGGGUGUGAAAGCCCUCAGCUUAACUGAGGAAGUGCGCCCGAAACUGCAGAGCUUGAGUACCGGAGAGGAUGGUGGAAUUCCCGAAGUAGAGGUGAAAUUCGUAGAUAUCAGGAGGAACACCGGUGGCGAAGGCGGAUCUCUGGGCCUUACCUGACACUGAUGCGCGACAGCAUGGGGAGCAAACAGG
rnacentral:rRNA from 1 species